GUUUUCUUGUUUAUAUAGGAGAUUUGACCUGCCCGCUGAUAUUUUGAAGGGCCGCAGUAUUUUGACUGUGCAAAGGUAGCAUAAUCAUUAGUCUUUUAAUUGAGGGCUGGAAUGAAUGGUUGGACGAGAUAAGAGCUGUUUCGUUAAAAUUUGGUUGAAUUUAGGUUUUAAGUAAAAAAACUUAAAUGUUAUUAAGGGACGAGAAGACCCUAUAGAGUUUAAUAUAUGUAAGUUAAAUUAAGUUAGGAAUUUAUUGAUGAUUUAUUUAAAAUGUAUUUGGUUGGGGUGAUUAAAAGAUAAAUUUAACUCUUUUUUAUUUUUAAUAUUGUGAAUAGUUGUAUGAUCCAUAUUUUGUGAUUAUAAGAUUAAAUUACCUUAGGGAUAACAGCAUAAUUUUUCUUGAGAGUUCUUAUCGAGAGAGGAGAUUGUGACCUCGAUGUUGGAUUAAGAUAAAUAUUAGGUGUAGAUGUUUAAUCAUUAGGUCUGUUCGACCUUUAAAAUCUUACA
rnacentral:rRNA from 2 species